AGUGAACGCUGGCGGUAGGCCUAACACAUGCCAGUCGAACGGCAGCACAGUAAGGGCUUGCUCUUACGGGUGGCGAGUGGCGGACGGGUGAGGAAUACAUCGGAAUCUACUUUUUCGUGGGGGGUAACGUAGGGAAACUUACGCUAAUACCGCAUACGACCUACGGGUGAAAGCAGGGGAUCUUCGGACCUUGCGCGAUUGAAUGAGCCGAUGUCGGAUUAGCUAGUUGGCGGGGUAAAGGCCCACCAAGGCGACGAUCCGUAGCUGGUCUGAGAGGAUGAUCAGCCACACUGGAACUGAGACACGGUCCAGACUCCUACGGGAGGCAGCAGUGGGGAAUAUUGGACAAUGGGCGCAAGCCUGAUCCAGCCAUACCGCGUGGGUGAAGAAGGCCUUCGGGUUGUAAAGCCCUUUUGUUGGGAAAGAAAAGCAGCAGGUUAAUACCCCGCUGUUCUGACGGUACCCAAAGAAUAAGCACCGGCUAACUUCGUG
rnacentral:rRNA from 1 species